CCUACGGGAGGCAGCAGUGAGGAAUAUUGGUCAAUGGGCGCGAGCCUGAACCAGCCAAGUCGCGUGAGGGAAGACGGUCCUAUGGUUUGUAAACCUCUUUUGUCGGGGCGCAAAAGACGCCCCGCGUGGCGUUCCGAGUGUACCCGAAGCAAAAGAAUAGGGUAACUCAGUGCCAGCAGCCGCGGUAAUACGGAGGAUUCAAGCGUAAUCCGGAUUGUUUGGGGUUAAAGGGUGCGUAGGCGGCAGGGCAAGCCUGAUGUGAAAGCACGGGGCUCAACCCCGGGACUGCAUUGGGAACUGCCCUGCUGGAGUGCCGGAGGGGCAGGCGGAAUUCCUGGUGUAGCGGUGAAAUGCGUAGAUAUUAGGAGGAACACCAGUGGCGAAGGCGGCCUGCUGGACGGUGACGGACGCUGAGGCUCGAAAGCGUGGGGAGCAAACAGGAUUAGAUACCCCGGUAGUC
rnacentral:rRNA from 1 species